CCAAACCUCCCUUUGAUUCCCCAAGGCCAGCUUCUGUUCUUUGUGCUCUCAAAAAACGCAGAAUUCUAAAGUCCUUCAAAGGCAAAACGCCAUUCCCAAGUCCCCAACGUAAACCACGGCUGGAUAACGCCAUUUUUGGCUAAAAUUCCAGCAUACUUUCGCGAGAUUCAGCCAUUGUUCGUCCAGUUAUAGCAAGAAAUUUAUUGAUCCUUGUUUUCUUCCUCUCGUGAAGUCAAACAAACGGUAACUUUUCUUUUUUUUAUCUUUUCGAUUUUCCCUUUUCUUUUCAAAAGAUUCGGAUUUCCCCGUGGCUGCUAGACAAAAAGGUAAUAUCCCUUUCCUUUUCCUUUUCCUUUUUUUAAGGAUUCAUAAGUAAGAGUUGAAGACAUCAGAAGGAAUCUUCUUCCUUAGCUUAGUUGUUAGUUCUGUGUGUUUGUUUUAACUUUCGCAUAGAUUAGCUUAGCUGUAGCUAAUCUACUUCCUUAACUUAGUUACUACUUCUGUGUGUUUACAGUAGAUUGGACUUGUUGAGUUAUUAGUUCUCCUUUUCUUCAUAUGUGUGAAGCAUGUAGUUAUAGUAAUCGACAUAUCAAGACGGGAGUCGUUUGCUUAAAUGACGACUCUUUGUUUCUUCACUUGAAAUCAGCCUAAUCCCCCUUUUAUUCACGUCAAGUGCAUAAACUGUUUACUCACUCUUUAGAUAAUAUACUGGCAUUCUUCAUUUUUACAUGAACAUGAAUCUAGUUCAGUAGGUGUCUCUGUUAAAAAUCCUCUUUGCUUCAUUAGAUAUGCAAACAACUGAAUAUUAGUUCGUUAACCAUGUUUGAAUUCAAAAUGAUUCUGGAGCCUUGCUUCACUCUCCAAUUGAUUUGUUUGAAUAGUUAAAUUGUUAAAAGAAAAGAAUAGGUUGUGGUAGAAUUUAUUAUGCCAUGGGAGUAUUAAUAUCUGUUUUCUUACAGUGCUGGUUCGGAUUUUCAGUUUCCACUGGUUAAAUGCCCCAGAUUAUGUUUUUCCGCUUAUCUAGUAGCCACGAGAUUCCUGGAUGAAUCCUUAUAUUAUGUGUGUACUUGUUAAAAUAUUCCUAAGCACUGUCUUCAGUUAAGUGCUAAGAGAUAGACAUCAUUUAAAUUUGGCUCAGAAUAUGAGUUUCUAUGUUUAGUUUAGAGGAACGGAUAAUUCCAUGGCUUGUUUGAGCUUUUGUUUAUUAUCUCAAGCUCCAAAAUUGCUUUUGUUAGAAAAAUGUUUGAGCAAGUGUGCAUUUCCCCUGGUGAUCAGUGAACCAUUUAGCUUAGCAGAAAACACAUUUGUACCAAAGAUUUAAUUGAUUUUGUACAGCCAAAUACUUUAGCCAAGUUUGCUGCCACAAUAAAUAAGAAUCCGCAAGCUUCUUUCCCCUUUCAAACAUCCACUUUUGGUUCUGUUUUCAAAACAAAUGUAAAGGCUUAGAAAUGAACCUCUUAGAGUUUGAAACUACUUAGUCCAACUGAGUUUGAAUAUUAACCUUUGUUUAGCACUUCAGAUGUUCUAAAAGAAAACGAACAGUUAUUAUUUUGUGUUCAUUUCCCCUAAAAAGAUCAGUCAAUCAUCUAAUUGAGAACCCCUUAUACAAGGCUGAGAUCAGAGUACUUUUUUUUUUUUUUUUUUUUUUUUUUUACUGAAUAAGGGAUUGAGUUUAGUUGUGUCUUCAAACAUCAACUCUCUAAGUCAAAAUUCUGGAUUCCCUUUGUACUUCUUAAAGUCAAAAUUUAAUGAUGUGUUUGUUGACUUCUUCACUGCUCCAACAUGUUUCCUUUUCAAGGUUAAUUAUGAAAUGUGUUCUGUCGUAAGCCAGAACUCUUCCUUCUCUUUCUUGAUGAUUUAAAAUUAUUUUGGUUCUGUUUGACACUAAACAAUAGGAUUUGCUUCCUCUAGAGCUCAAGAAUGAUUUUGAAAAUAAAUCGGAUGAUUUGCUUGUUGAUAACGCUUUAGUUGAAGUUGGUUUAGUAUGUUCUAAUUGAUUUCUCAUAUCCCCCAUAUGUGCUUAAGAGUUUCCAAGUAACUUGAAACACUAGUUUGCUAAAGUUAGUAGUUAUCCUGUGACUUAAAAAGGACUAUUGCAGUUUGAACUCAACUUAUUUCAGUAGUUUUGGACAGCCUCAGUAUAAGAGGUCCACAUUCAUUUGAGGCAUCAUUUCAGUGGCUGCUCUUUUUCCCUUUAAAUUGAGUAUUAGAUUUGAAAUGAAGUUGAAUAUCUUGCCUUGUGUGGAUGAGCUAGAGCUUAUUUGUAUUUAUGUAGACCCAGUGAUAAGUUAUGAAGGGUUAGUCUCAAGAGGAUAAAUUUAAGUUUUAAGUUACUGGUUUAGAAAUCACACACUCAUGGCAUCUUGCCUUAAACAUUCGUGCUCUGUCCAAUAUGAAAUAGUUCUGUUUGACCAUUAUGAAACAAUCUAUUAAAGUUUUCCUGUUAAAGUGUCCAUUUGGGUUUACAUUCAAAAGUGUUGAAUUUUAGAAGUAACAUUCGAUUAAAUUUAACUCUUAUCUGUUCCUUUCUUUCUAAAAGAUGCUUAUGUGCAUAUUUGAAUCUUUUUUUUUUUUCCAAGUUGCAUAGAGUUUCAACAAUUAUAUUUCUGCAUUUGAAGUUUGAGAGUUGGUUUAUUUGAUUAGUGGUUGUGUGUUUUUUCUGGGAACUAAACCAGGUUUGUGAAUAAUAACUUAAAGCUCUAAGGAGCCCAUCUUUUCUCCUUAACAACUUAAGAGGCUCUAUCUUUUUUUUUUUUUUUUUUUGGGAAUAGGCUACUGGGAUAGAUUUGAGCUUCCGAAAAUCAAUAGUCAUAUCUUAAGAAUUCUUGAGUGACUGGUUAUUCGUGACCUGAUGCUUAUUUUUUAGAAAAUAUGUUGAGUGCAUUAAUCUCCUUUGCUGCUUUGAGUAUUUUGCGUAUUAGUUUAACAGUAAUCCUUUCUUUACUAAUCCUUAUUUUCUCUACUUUCUAUGCGUGAACACUCGUACGAGUCCAACGGAUUCAUCCUAGCACCCCCGCAUUAUCUCGUUGGGUUGGGAGCCCAACAUGCAUUAGAGCGAGUCGGACCACAGAGAUUGAAGGCCCAAUCAUGAGUGAAAAUGGUUUAGGUUGGUGGGAUUGGUAAACCCACUGGCCCAUUUUGUCAUUUUAUUUUACUUAUAUUUGUAUUGUAUGUAUGAAUACUUGUGGAUAUUGAAACCCAUGGUUAGAACUUAGUUGAAUUAGACAAACGAUGUGUAUAUUGUUUAGAAUGGAUAGGAACCCGAUUGCUAUUUCAAAUUUGGACCCAACAAAAGAUAAAGUAAUAACUUUAUAAUUUUGUUUUCUCCUUAUAAAAAUAGAAAUAUGGAAACAGCGGAGUAUUAUUUUUGAGAAAUAAAUCAAAACUCUUCUUUUCUUUUAAACUUAAGAAUUCAUAAAAAAUGGUUUUUUUUUAAGGAAUACGAAUGAAGGACUUCAAAAAAAAAAAAAAAAAAGAGUUUUUCCUUUAUUUUGGAAAGGAUCUCAAAUUGUUUCAUGUAACUUAAAAUGAUUUUCAAUAAUGAAAUCAUGGUUUAAACCCAAGUCAGGGGAAAAAGUUUUAAAUGGGAUACCGUUGACCUUGAUUAAAGAAUGGAUCAAAUUCAUGACCGGUAAGUGAAAAGGGGUAUUUUUAUAAACUUUGAAUAACUUUUCAUGGCUUUUUACAGAAGGAUAUAUUUGGAGCUUUUCAUGAAAAUUUAUAAGGACAAAAGGAACAUAACAUUUGGACCAAAUGAGUUGAACUUUACUCAAGAGAAAUCUUGGAUGUGUUUGGGUCUAAAAAUGAAAUGACUGCCUUAUACACUUAUUUUCCAAGGAAAAAUUCAACUCUGUUUCCUUAAAAGUAUUUUGCCAAAAAGGUGGAGUUAUGAUAUUGACAUGACAAAUUUUGCUCAAAUGGUAAGCACCAUUCACUUCAACCCAAAGGUUGCGAGUUCGAGUCACCCAGGGAGUAAAGGAGGGAGCUCCUGAGGGGAGGGGUUAAAAAAAAAUGACAAAUUUUGCGAGAAAGAAAACAUUUUAGCAAAUAAUCAUACAUUAAAACUCAUAGGUCAACCGUAUUCUAUAUAUUCUUAAUACUAGAGUUUUUAAAACCUUCCAUAGGGGAUCACCAGAACUCUGAACUCGAACUCUAGCUUAAAAAGAAUUUUUCUUUUGUUUGACAAAACCCUUUAACUCGGUUUUCCUAAUUUACCAAUAAAUUAGGUGACGACUCUAAAAUUCAUUUAGAGCACCAAUGGCCUCUUAGUAGCUUUUAUGAACCAGCGUAAAAGUAAACCAUAGGAGUGACAAGAAAACGCACGCCUCGUAGAGAAAGUGGCCUUUCGGGAACAAAAAACAUUUUUGUGCGCAGAUUGCCCUUCUUUUGAGGUGGUCUUUAAAUUUUGCCCCUCAUAUUUGUGGUCUUUAAAUUAUGCUCCUCAUAUUGCUGGUCUUUAAUUUUUGCCCCUCGCGUUGCAACCCUGAGCGUUCACGCAGAAAUCAUGAGGUUCUGGAUUCGAACCCCCGCUCAAGCAUAAAUUAAAAAAAAAAAUUGCAAGGCAAGGUUUGGGUCGCGUGUAUGUCGGACCCGGCAUACACUUAUUAAGGAAUUAUCAAAGUAAUGUCGGACCCGGCAUACUCAUGCCUUAUGGGCAAACUGGGCAUAAGUAUGCCGGGUCCGGCAUACUUAUGAGCAAACUUUUAAUGAACAAACUUUUAGUUAGGUCUUAACUAAAAGUCUUUUCCUAGUUAUGUCUUACGGGGCAGACUUUUAGUUAAGGCACAACUAUAAGUAUGCCUCAUAAGGCAUAACUAAAAGUAUGUUCCAUAAGGCAAUAUGCCUCCAUAAGACGGAAUUUUUCCUUAAGGCAUAACUAAAAAUUUAUCUUAUAAGACAAAAUCUAUGUCUUCAGGAAAAGUUAUGCCUCAUGGGGCAUAACUAGGAAAAGACUUUUAGUUAAGGUUUAAUUAAAGUUUGCCUGUUAAAAGUUUGCCCAUAAGUAUGCCGGACCCGACAUAAACUUGUGAAGGAAUUAUCAAAGUUAUGCCAGACCCGGCAUACUUAUGCCAAGUCUGCUCAUAAGGCAUAAGUAUGUCGGGUCCGACAUAACUUUGGUAAUUCCUUAACAAGUGUAUGUCGAUAGGGGCAUAGCGAAAUUUAAACUCUGCCUUGCGAAUUCUCUUAAAAUUUGUGACUAAAUGGGGGGUUCGAACCUGAAACAUAUGGGUUUUAACCGAAAGACAAAAUUUAAAAAUUUCAAAUAUGAGGGGUAAAAUUUAAAGAAGGACAAUUUUGCGAAUUGCCCAACAAAAAAAAGGCCCAUUCUGAAACAUCAUCAACAAAUAGGAAGAACUCCAAAAGUUUCUACCACACUGAUUCCACAACAGCUUUUACUAACUUCUGUGCAAGAGCCGGACAAAAGUUUUCACCCAGGUUCUUAAAUGAAGAAUUCCGAAAGUUUCUCUCACCCUGAUCAGCGUUUACUAACUUUUAUGGAAGAAGCGCACAACAUUUUCACUCUGGUUCGUAAGCACGGGGAAGAAAUUUCAGGUCUUUUAUUUCAGGAAUAUGAAGCAAAGAAUAUAAUUUUGUGUUACUCCUAGGCUUUUAUAUAAAAUCAUAUCUUCUAUGGGGUGAGUAGCAUUGUAUCAGAUUAAUAUUGCUCUAGAACUCUAAAUUAUGGUGAUACUAUUGUUCCAGAACUCUAAUUUUGGUGAUAUUAUUUUAGUUGAAUGUAUAUAUAAAAGUUUGGCAGUGCUUCAAUUAAGGUUAAAGGGAGGCAAAGAGGAGGCAAAGAGCAAUCACAUAGUGUAGUUAGUUCAACAUGAUUGUUGUAAAGAAGACCGUAAGACUCUUGCUUUCUCAUUGGAAGAUCCGGCUUAUCCGAUUGUUGUAAGUAACAAGCCUUUGCUACUUGCCAUAAUUGUAGAAGCUAGAAGAAUUGUGUUCCGAGUGCACGCCUUUGCAUCCCAUCGAAUGUGUUCCGAUUGCACACCUUUGCAUCCCAUCGAAUGUGUUCCGAUUGCACGCCUUUGCAUCCCAUCAAACUUUCUACUUCAGGAAGGCGAUGAAGAGUUAGUGAUUGCAACGACGGAUUGCAGUAGAUGAGGAUAACAAAAUGUCGUUGUACAAGGAGUCGAUAAUAAUCCCUUUCCCUUGAGUAAUGCAGUUGUGGACAAGGCAUACUUUGUAUAAAUACCUUUAUCAAUUUAACUUGCUCCUAACUUUUUAGUAGUUUUUAUGAAUGUACCAUUGCUCAAAUUUGUCACAAUCUUGUCUCAGGAAUUCUUCAUUAGGCUUACUGCUGGAAUUCCAAUUAGUUUUGAUGCUGAAUAGCAACGUGUAAUUCUAUGCUUACAAGCUGCAAUCAAAAGUUGAGCAUUUGAGGUAUUCUGCUCCCCCUUUCUUACCUUUUGAAAAGAAAUAUUUAAUUAUAUAUUUCAGAGUGUAUUUAGAAUUAGAGGUGAAUCCAACCAAAAUGCACUUUACGGACUUCACAAAAUCACAAAUUUACAACCAACUUUCAUGUCUAUAUACGACUUAUUAUUAAUACACCCAUAUUAAAUUGUUUUGGCACAUGUAAUCAACAAACCCGUCACCUGACAAAAAAUGGAAAUGAGACAGUUUACUGCUUUAUGAUACAACUAAGACUUAAUGAGGGGCACACUCUUCUACAAGUUGGUAAACUACUGCAUCAGUUCAAUAUGGAGAAUUACAUGGCUAUAGAAGAAGAAUUUUCUUUUAUAUCCGGAAUAACUAAAAAAAAUACAGGGCUUCUUUUCUUUGGAUUGAUGGAUGUUAUUGGCGAGGUGCUUCUGAUUGUUCAAUGAUCGGAAGUAUUAUUAUGUACCUGUGCGGUAUAUUGGGGGACCUUGAUAUAGGGUACGAUUACAAAUUUAUAAAGAUAUAAUUGCAAUUGUGGGUGAGCUUGGAUAUUCAGAUUUCUCCUUAUAACUUUCAUUUGAGAUUGAAGAUUUUUAACUACACCAUUUGGUCAUCUUCCUCUCUUUUGUUUUAUGCAAUCAUUCUAUCCUGAAUGAAUCCAUUUAUAAAGCAUGCUUUAUGUAGAUUUAUCCAACCAAAACUUCGAACUUUUGAAGGGGCUCUACAUCUCCAUAGCAGUUGGCAAGGCCAAGGUUUAGAGGUACUCGCCAAGUUGAGCAUUCUGUAAACAUGCCUUUACCAUGUUCAAUUGUCUGAAAACAAAAUCCUUCCCUCCUGCUAUUCCGAGGGAGAACUUAGGUUCUAAUCUCUUAAUCUUGACAAUACCUGCUGGUUUUUCUAUAGCUUUCAGGAUACCAAUGCUUUCAAAAUCUUUCUUUGCUUACACUAAGUAGUUUGUGUUACCUAUCGUCUGUCCUAUACUGAGUAACCUGAAAAGAGGUCAUGUGUAUCCUUCUCAUCAAAUAAACAAGAUCAGCCAUACAAUUAUGCAAGAAAUAGGUAGUAAUUAUCCUAAAUUGUUGUACAGAAUUGAGUGGUACGUAGUGCUAAGUAUUAAACUACUGUGAGGAGCUCCAUUUAUCUACACAUUUAGCCACAUAUGGUUUCUGAAUAAAAGAGAUACACACAGUAAAUGAAUUUUGGCAUUUGCUGUUUGUGUGUCACUUUUAAUUAGUAUGAAUUGUGAAAUCUAUGUUUUUUUUUUUGCCGGAAGAAUGUAGCCAAAACUAGACUAAAUGUAGAUAUCCUAUAGUUCCAUUAAUAGACGGGCUUUUGACAAGUAAAUGCAUUAGUAUCUUGCAAAGCUUUAACAUGACUUUUUAAAUAUGUGAUCACUGGUGAGUUUGAUAAAUGAGGUUGAUAAAUGAGGUUGCGACUUUCGUGCCGAAUUUGUUUGAUGCUUCACUGGGAUAGUCCCACUACAAAAAGACUGGGAUAUAGAUCUCUUCUCUUGCUUCAAAUGUCUCAUGGUCUGGGCAAUCUUGAAAGAAAUGAAUUGAAUUAGUUUUAACAAAAGAAUAUAUGGAUCAUAUACAUUGAAAUUGUAGGAAACAGAUGCACCAUUAUAUGGAUGGUGAAGUUACGAAGUAUUAUGUCUCAUAGUCUAUGUUUCAAAUGGUAAAGUUGGGCUAUCCUUAACAGGUUCUGUAAAACGCACUGAGUAACUAUACGAGCAUCAACCACAUUGGGUUAUUACCAGAUAAGGUGGCGUUUUCACCUAAGACAUGCAUUACUCAUUGGAUUGUUUGGCUCAUGCAUUCAAAACAUUUUCUUUCAUAUUUUUUUUAAACGUAUUUGUAUAUGUUGUAUUAUAUGUUUUUAUUUUUAUUUUAUAGAGAUACCGAGUGAAGAGAGAGACACAUUCACACCCCAUUAAAAAAUUGAAAUGAUAGACUGUUGUUUAUAUUAAUCCAAUUCUGUUUUAUAUGGUUAUACCAAUUACGUUGAGGAGUAACAAUGUCAUCCAUCCUACUUUGAAGGUUCUGUUUGUUCACAAAUACAGUGGUGAGACGGUUCUUGGUUCAGUGCUUCGUUAUUUCAUCCUCCUAUUUUAUGUUGGUUGUAGUCAUGAUCUAUAUCCAUCAGUUAACGCAAGUUUAUACAUAGCCAGAAAUUGAUCUGAAUUAUAUCAGUUUUCUGAUAUUCUUAAUCAGCACAUGUGGCAACUUAUAUCAUCUUACCUCCUUUCCAAUCUCAGAGACAAGAGAGAGAAGGGCUAUAAAAUUCCCUAAGGGUGGCCUUUCCAGUGUGGUCAUAUGCCCUCAUUGUCGUUUCAAAAUUCUUGACUGUUUAGGGAUUCCAUUCAUCUCCCAGACACUAUUUUUCUUUUAAUGUGCUGUAGGUGUAUCUUUAUAUCCGCUGGGAAGGAGCAAUGUUACUAGGAAAUGGUACCUUUCCAAAUUUGAAAUUUUCGUAAGAAUGUUAAGGCCUUGAUUCCUUUUCUUUUCCAGUAAAUAUUGAAAGUGCUUCUUUUUAUCCCAAUUCGGUUCCAUAGAAUUUGCUUGCUUGAUUGAAAAAUGUUGUAGCUUGUCUUAAAGUUCCACUCUACAAUAACACUUCUACCAUGUAUAAGUAGAAGCACAAAAAACUGUUGCAGGUGUUAUUGAAGAGCAAUAUUAGGUGACAGAGAAGAAAAAUUAUAAAAAGAAUAAUUCUUGCCACUCUUUUUUUUUUUUUUUUUUUUCCAUUCUGCUUUUACUUUACUUUUUUUUGUUGUACUACUGCUUUUAUUUGUAUUGUAAAAGUCAUCUCAUCGAAGCUCUAAUUCUAAUAAAAUUAUGGACUAAAAUUAUUAAAUAAAAUACGGUCUUUUACGAUCGCGCUAAGCGCUGGCUUAUACCCUA